CUGACUUAUUGCAACCAAUGCUGAUUUGAUUCAAAGUCGAUUUUAAUUAAUUGGAAUAUGAGAGUUCAAUUUUAAAUUGUACUAAUUCAACUUCGAUCUGAUUUGACUCUGAACCAGAUGGCAGCCAUGAUUACAUCCCCUUAUCAACUGGCUUCAUCUUAAUUAUCUCACCAACCGCGUACAACCUUUGUUCUCCCACUAGGCCGCCGCUGUUACUGCAAGAGUAGCAUACUUGUCCUUCCUUGUCAAAUUAGUGC
rnacentral:misc_RNA from 1 species